GCCCAGAUGGCGGAAUUGGUAGACGCGUUGGUCUCAAACACCAAUGGGGAUGACCCGUGCCGGUUCGACCCCGGCUCUGGGUA
rnacentral:tRNA from 1 species